rnacentral:rRNA from 1 species
UACGGAGGGAGCUAGCGUUAUUCGGAAUUACUGGGCGUAAAGCGCACGCAGGCGGCUUUGUAAGUCAGAGGUGAAAGCCUGGAGCUCAACUCCAGAAUAGCCUUUUAGACUGCAUCGCUUGAAUCAUGGAGAGGUGAGUGGAAUUCCGAGUGUAGAGGUGAAAUUCGUAGAUAUUCGGAAGAACACCAGUGGCGAAGGCGGCUCACUGGACAUGUAUUGACGCUGAGGUGCGAAAGCGUGGGGAGCAAACAGG